CAGAUUUAUGUUUGGUUCACA
rnacentral:siRNA from 1 species